rnacentral:ncRNA from 1 species
UACAAACUGCCACCGGGUAGUAUAGCAUUCCCGCACAUCGUUAGGUCUUGGAAGAUGUGCCGGGGUGCUUAUUUUUUGG